AGCAUCUAUGUUAACGCAUAUAGUGCAGAGAUAAUAUUUUACGAUCAAACCCACCGUUUUUUACGCAGUCUGGCCAAUUUCUACUUUACCAGGAAGUCCAGAAAUUCUAUAAAUGUUUAGUAGCGACAGAUUACGUCGAGAAAAUUAAACUGCACGGAAGUCCAAGGUCAAGCGACGUGGUCCCACCACAAGACGCCCAGACACUGGUGAGCUCCACGUUCUCGAUUGCGGGCGCUGGUUGCUAUGGAGAACUAAAAAAUCGAUUGCCGUACCAGUUAAAUCUACCCUGACCCGACCCAGACGUUUUAAAGCAUGGACUACGUUUCUUCCAUACAGACUGUGUUGGCGUGUUGUGUGUGUGUGUGUGUGUGUGUGUGUGUGUGUGUGUGUGUGUGUGUGUGUGUGUGUGUGUGUGUGUGAGAGAGAGAGAGAGAGAGAGAGAGAGAGAGAGAGAGAGAGAGAGAGAUUCCAGUGUCUACAGUUAGGAUCUGCACUUUAUAACCUAAAG
ensembl:lncRNA